rnacentral:rRNA from 1 species
CCUUAGUACGAGAGGACCGGGAUGGACGUACCUCUGGUGUACCAGUUGUUCUGCCAAGGGCAUGGCUGGGUAGCUAUGUACGGAAUGGAUAAGCGCUGAAAGCAUCUAAGCGCGAAGCCAACUUCAAGAUAAGAUUUCCCACCGCAAGGGUAAGACCCCAGAAAGACUAUCUGGUUGAUAGGUCGAAGGUGUAAGUGCAGCAAUGUAUUUAGCUUAUCGAUACUAAUAGGUCGAGGACUUGACCAAUAUCAUU